CGAACGAGAUCCAUUCAGUAGCAAUACUGAUGAAGAUCUAGUGGCGAACGGGUGCGUAACACGUGAGGAACUUGUCCCGGUCUCUGGGAUAACAGUUGGAAACGACUGCUAAUACCGGAUGACGUCGGAACUUCGCAUGGAGUACUGACGAAAGGGUUACUGGAUCGGGAGAGCCUCGCGGCCUAUCAGCUUGUUGGUGGGGUAAUGGCCUACCAAGGCAUCGACGGGUAGCUGGUCUGAGAGGAUGAUCAGCCACACUGGGACUGAGACACGGCCCAGACUCCUACGGGAGGCAGCAGUGGGGAAUCUUGCACAAUGGGCGAAAGCCUGAUGCAGCAACGCCGCGUGC
rnacentral:rRNA from 1 species